GGAGGAAUGAGCCCCCCCCGGCUGAUGCUGCCCAGAGAGGUGCAGAGCCGCCCUGGUCGGCAGGCUGGGUGCCCACGCUGCCCUUAGCUGCCUUUUCCCAUUCUGACCAGUUCCUCCAGAAUGAAACGGGGUGGGACUGGGGGGGGGGGUCUGACCAGGGGGGAUCGCCCAAAUCAUAGGACCUGGCCUUGGGGUGGGAGGUGAUAUCCCCCACAUCUGGGCUGUGGGCACCCUGGGGAAAGGAGGCUCCUGCAGUCGGGGCGUCCUUCCAGCUGUAGUCCUACCCUAUGGAUAGCACAACCUCUGCCCUUCCCAGUCCCUUUCUGCGCCCCGUUAGCCCCUUGCACCCAGCAGGACGGGGACAAGCAGCCAGAAAGUCAUGGAGGGAAGCACGGAGCAAACUCCAGCGCCUUACUUGAUGCUGCUGUGGGGUUGUUGCCCGUGAAGCUGCUCGGCUCCACGGGGAGCUACCUGAAGUGUCCAUCGUUCUCCUUUGUGCCUUCCAGAGCAGUAAUGUUUAUCCCCACCAUCUCCCCCUGCCUGAGAAGAGUGUCUGGGCGAGGGCGUGCAGGGGUCUGAGCUUGCCCUGCAGGACUGGGGUGCUCGGCCAUGCACUGCAGGUUCUUGAGGUUCGCGUCCCUCUGCUGGGCACCCCAGGGGACAAGCGCUGUGCCACCUCUGUAAACGCUGCCCCAGAGCCGGGCAGCAUGUUGUGGUUGCUCUUGUUAUCAGACUUGCGGAGCAAGGGCUGCUGGUGGUGAGCUGGAUGCCUCCUGCCCACGCUGCUUUCUAUGGCAGGGAAAAACCCACAGCUGAGUUAAAGGCCUCUUGGGAUGUGGCCCAGGUAAAGGGCCCUGACCCCCCUCCUUGGGGCACUGUCGAUCAGUCGCCCAACUUUAAUCAUCGCUNACAACUCAACCCUGAACUGGCUGCUGCUGUGACUCAUCCCAGACUUGCUGCUGGCUGUCUAAAUGUUUUCACCAAAGCCAUACGGAGUGAAAGUCUCCAGCUAUUAUACUCCUCAUUAACGAUACUCUCUUCCCCUGGGCCAUGCGUGAUGAUCAGAGCAUCCCCAAGUUGAGAUCAAAGCUUUCUCCCCUUACUGGGUUUCCCAGCUGGAAAUGCUGCCUGUCGGGGCACUUUGCUUGGGCAGCAUGGGGCAGAUUUCUGUGCGUGGGGCUGAUUUCUGUGUGAGGGGCUGAUUUCUGUGGGGGGGGCAGAUUUCUGUGGGGGGGGCAGAUUUCUGUAUGUGGGGCAGAUUUCCAUGCCUGGUGCCACUGCUGCCUGUGCAGCUGUGGGAGCAAAGGGGCCCUGGGCAGCGUGGCUGCACAUGUGAUCAUCCCGCUGCCUCCCUGAAGGGACACUCAAACUGUAAGCUUCGACACAGGUUUAAUGAGCGCCUCUGCUAUAGCCCCUAAUUGGUGCCAGGCACUUAGAAAUGGGUUUUAGAAACCCAUUCUCAGCUUGGCAAAACCACCUCUGGGGACAUCUUUGGCCCAGCUGUCUGCAGGAUGUGCUGGGUUUUACUCCCUUGUGAGCUCGGAGUGUCCACGCUUCCAUCUGUGAUGGCUUUAUGGAGUCGCUGCCAUCACACAGGCUGCGCAGGGAGCUGUGGUGUGGCCUGUGCCUGUAGCUGGGGGUUCAGGGACGUGGGAUCCCCUGCGUCUGCCUGGAGAAAGCAUCUCCUGCACUAGCAGAGAAGAUCCAUGUAAAUGCUAUGUAUUCGUCACAGACUUACCUCAUCACAUGGAAUCACAGAGGAAUUUGGAUCAGGAGGGAGCUCUGGAGAUCUCGAGCCCAACUCCCAGCUCAGAGCAGGUUUAGUUAGAUCAGGUCACUCACAGCCUUGUCCAGAAGGAAUCUUGGACCAAGGAUGAGAUCCCUUGACCUCUCCAGUCCCAGUUCUUCUUUCCUGAAGGGAAAAUGUUUUCCUGCAAUCUAACUGGAACCUCCAGUGUUCCAGCUUGUAUUCAUCAUCUCUUGCCUGAUCUUUGCACACCUCCAAAAGGAGUCUGACUCCCUCUUCUCUGCUUCCUCCCAUUAGGUAGCUGAGGGCAGCCAUGAGAUCCCCCUUCACCUUUUCUCCUUCAGGUUGAGCAAACCUGCUUCUGUCAGCCUCUCCUUGCCCAUCUUGUGCUCCUGUCCCUGCCCUUGCUCAGAUGUUCAGCUCUUGGCAAGACCGCCUGUGGUCCUGGGCAGAUGCUGGUGGAUGGAAGCAAGCUCCACCAGCAAGUUAAUCCUAACAGCAUCCUGUAGGGUAGGGCAUCCUAUCAGUAGCCCUUGGGUUGCUGUCUGUAUGGACUCACUGGUUUCUCAUGAGGGUUGAUGGAUGUUUUUUCGUGCAGAGGAUUAGCUCUGUUUUCCAUUGCCCAGGUGUUCCUGCACCCCACAGUGUCUCCGGUCCUGCUUCCCAAGCCCUUGUGUUUUCUUGGUGCCAAUCAACAUGAAGGAUUGGCUGAUGUUGGGCAGGGUCUCACCCUUACCAAAACCCCAGCCGCAGUAGCGUGGGGUUUCUGAUCCCAAGGACUUUCUCCAUUCUUCCCUGAAAACAGAAGGGGUAAGGAGAAGGUGCCUGUGACAGAUUUUAAGGAAGCAGAGGGAAGCAUUGGGGGCUGGUGGAGGCCUGAACGGCAGAGGCAGAAGGGUGCUCCUGCCAGGGGGCUGUGUCCAUUCUGCAGGAGCUCUCACCUGGGGCUGCCCUUGCUCCUGAAUUAAGCAGCUCCAGGCACACGACUCCCUGCUUAGAGCUCUUCUCCAGGACUUACUGCU
ensembl:lncRNA